CCCACUGAAUUUAAGCAUUUUAGCUAACAGGGGCGAAGAGAAAUUUAGCAAGGAUUCUCUUAGUAAUUGCAAAUGAAUACAGAAAAGCCCAGUGUUGAAACCCUGCCCCACAGUGGAAUAUUAGAAAUGUGGCAUACAGAAUAAUCAUUCCCCAAUGCUGCCUUUUAGUGACCCAAGUUCUUCUGAUUGAGGCCCAGCCUGUAGAUGUUGUGAGGACAGUAGCAGCUCCUGAUGUUCUAGACUUAGAUGUUACCAGAAUCAUGCUCCUAGAGAAUGUAGCCCAAAGUGGGUAUAAACUCCAUGUAAGGCUGAAUACUAUCACAAAAGCAAUAUUCAAUAGUACUAUAAGGAAAAACUUUGAAAAGAACUUUGAAGAAAAUAGUUCCAGAGCACAUGACUGUUAAGAGACAUGACUUCAAUCCAAUAUGGCAACUCCACACCCUUAUGUGGUGGUCAUGCCCCUCUCAGCCCUGAAAAUAAGGAGAUGGCCCUGCCCUCUGAAACUGGG
rnacentral:rRNA from 1 species